rnacentral:rRNA from 1 species
GAUGAACGCUGACAGAAUGCUUAACACAUGCAAGUCUACUUGAUCCUUCGGGUGAUGGUGGCGGACGGGUGAGUAACGCGUAAAGAACUUGCCCUGCAGUCUGGGACAACAUUUGGAAACGAAUGCUAAUACCGGAUAUUAUGUGAGUUUCGCAUGAAAUUCAUAUGAAAGCUAUAUGCGCUGCAGGAGAGCUUUGCGUCCUAUUAGCUAGUUGGUGAGGUAACGGCUCACCAAGGCGAUGAUAGGUAGCCGGCCUGAGAGGGUGAACGGCCACAAGGGGACUGAGACACGGCCCUUACUCCUACGGGAGGCAGCAGUGGGGAAUAUUGGACAAUGGACCAAAAGUCUGAUCCAGCAAUUCUGUGUGCACGAUGAAGUUUUUCGGAAUGUAAAGUGCUUUCAGUUGGGACGAAGUAAGUGACGGUACCAACAGAAGAAGCGACGGCUAAAUACGUGCCAGCAGCCGCGGUAAUACGUAUGUCGCAAGCGUUAUCCGGAUUUAUUGGGUUUAAAGGGCGCGUAGGCGGGACGUCAAGUCAGCGGUAAAAGACUGCAGCUAAACUGUAGCACGCCGUUGAAACUGGCGCCCUGGAGACGAGACGAGGGAGGCGGAACAAGUGAAGUAGCGGUGAAAUGCAUAGAUAUCACUUGGAACCCCGAUAGCGAAGGCAGCUUCCCAGGCUCGUUCUGACGCUGAUGCGCGAGAGCGUGGGUAGCGAACAGG